AAAGGGAGACCUAAUUCGGGUAUGGGAUGAAAAAAAAGUAGUCCCUACCAAGAAUCAAUCCCAAAAGGUCGGAGCGAGGCAUAAGGCUUUCAAACUAGGUUCUGGGUUCACACAAGACCUGAAUCAGGAACAAGGGCUAUUAGCUCAGGUGGUUAGAGCGCACCCCUGAUAAGGGUGAGGUCCCUGGUUCGAGUCCAGGAUGGCCCACCUGCACAGGUGGCAAAAACAAGAGAAGCGAGGAAUCAGCACCUUAUCUUAUCUAUAUAUAAAUAUAAGUAAGAGAGAAUGCUGGCUCUGAGUAAAGAGUCCAGAGGAACCUUGAAAACUGCAUAGAGCUAGGUGAAAAAGCCAAAAAAGAAGACCGCAAG
rnacentral:tRNA from 1 species